rnacentral:rRNA from 1 species
AAACGCAGGAGGCGAGCGUUAUCCGGAUUUACUGGGCGUAAAGCGCAUGUAGGCGGUUUUCUAAGUCGGACGUGAAAGCUCCUGGCCCAACUGGGAGAGGCCGUUCGAAACUGGAAAACUUGAGGAUGGUAGAGGAGAGUGGAAUUCCCGGUGUAGUGGUGAAAUGCGUAGAUAUCGGGAGGAACACCAGUGGCGAAAGCGGCUCUCUGGGCCAUUCCUGACGCUCAGAUGCGAAAGCUAGGGGAGAGAACGGGAUUAGAAACCCCAGUAGUCC